UACCCUAAGCGGAGGAUCACUUGGCUCAUGGGACGAUGAAGAACGCAGCAAACUGCGCGUCAUCGUGUGAACUGCAGGACACAUGAACGUCGACAUUUUGAAUGCAUAUUGCAGUCCAUGCUAUACAUAUAUCUAAUAUAUGCUGCAUGGACUACAUAUGGUUAAGGGUUG
rnacentral:rRNA from 1 species